rnacentral:rRNA from 1 species
GUGGGGAAUCUUGCACAAUGGGGGAAACCCUGAUGCAGCGACGCCGCGUGAGCGAUGAAGCCCUUCGGGGUGUAAAGCUCUUUCGGCAGGGAAGAUUAUGACGGUACCUGCAAAAGCAGCUGCGGCUAACUACGUGCCAGCAGCCGCGGUAAUACGUAGGCAGCAAGCGUUGUUCGGAAUUACUGGGCGUAAAGGGUGCGUAGGCGGUUUUGCAAGUUUGGUGUGAAAUCUCCCGGCUUAACUGGGAGGGUGCGCCGAAAACUGCAAGGCUAGAGUGCGGGAGAGGAGAGUGGAAUUCCUGGUGUAGCGGUGAAAUGCGUAGAUAUCAGGAGGAACACCUGUGGUGUAGACGGCUCUCUGGACCGCAACUGACGCUGAUGCACGAAAGCGUGGGGAGCAAACAGGAUUAGAUACCCCGGUAGUCC